AACGAACGCUGGCGGCAUGCCUAACACAUGCAAGUCGAACGAGACCUUCGGGUCUAGUGGCGCACGGGUGCGUAACGCGUGGGAACCUGCCCUUAGGUUCGGAAUACUCCCCGAAAGGGGUGCUAAUACCGGAUAAUGUCUUCGGACCAAAGAUUUAUCGCCUUUGGAUGGGCCCGCGUUGGAUUAGCUAGUUGGUAGGGUAAAAGCCUACCAAGGCGACGAUCCAUAGCUGGUCUGAGGAUGAUCAGCCACACUGGGACUGAGACACGGCCCAGACUCCUACGGGAAGCAGCAGUGGGGAAUAUUGGACAAUGGGCGAAAGCCUGAUCCAGCAAUGCCGCGUGAGUGAUGAAGGCCUUAGGGUUGUAAAGCUCUUUUACCCGGGAUGAUAAUGACAGUACCGGGAGAAUAAGCUCCGGCUAACUCCGUG
rnacentral:rRNA from 1 species